GUGCGUGCAGCAUUGGCUGCUAGCGCUGACAGCUCGGAUGUGUUCCGUCAUCUACUGAAGUGACGCUCACAAUUUGUGGAAAAGUAGGCAUUCGGAGGCAGCUGAAAUGGAAUUCUACGGAAACGCUAGGGCAGCUGGCUAUUUGACUGCUACAGCAGAGGAAAGCUUCGGCAGUGCUUCGAACGGCUUCGAAGAUGCAGAACUGCAAGAACCUAUUGGCGGUACCAGAGACUGCGGUACCAGCAGCAGAAGAGACGCACACACCUUUCCUAAGAAGUCCCUGCCACUUGGUUUCUCCGCCAAGGGCAGCAGAAGGGUUCGGUAACCGGAUGAGUGCACCUCAGGGACAACCACACUGCGUCAUGUAACAGGGCGUUCAAUACCAAGUAAAUUAAUAUAAUAUUCGCAUAUGUGUGCCUUCAAGAAUACUAACAGCUGUACACCUGUUGUAUACUGUACAUCUGUCGUGCUCGUUGUUCUCAUCCAGAUUUCAUUUUUUUACGUUUCACGUGCAGUCAUAGGAAACAAGGGACUGAAUUCGCAUGCGCAAUUCAAUCAUUUCUUCGCAACGCCAAUUAACAGUUUGUGCUCUGGAACAUGGCGCGUACUUUUCGCCUUGAGUUACUCUAAAUUAGAAGGCAAAAACUUCACAAGCAAAGUUUCUGCAAAUCAAUGUGUCUCCAACGAGCCCACACGUUGUAUGAGCUUUUUAUAUAAUAAAAUAUCACAUUUGUUGAAACCAUUUACUAAAAGUACAUGGGGAGCUUCUGUUUCACUAUAAACUUGAUAAUAUAAAUAAACAGAAGAAUGUAAUUAGGGUAA